rnacentral:rRNA from 1 species
CAAUAGCGUAUAUUUAAGUUGUUGCAGUUAAAAAGCUCGUAGUUGGAUUUCGGAUGGGAUUUGCCGGUCCGUCGUUACGAUGUGCACUGGCCAGUCCUAUCUUGUUGUCGGGGACUAGCUCCUUGGAUUCACUUCCUGGGACUAGGAGCUGACGAGGUUACCUUGAGUAAAUUAGAGUGUUCAAAGCAAGCCUACGCUCUGAAUACAUUAGCAUGGAAUAACACGAUAGGACUCUGGCUUAUCUUGUUGGUCUGUGAGACCAGAGUAAUGAUUAAGAGGGACAGUCGGGGACAUUCGUAUUUCAUUGUCAGAGGUGAAAUUCUUGGAUUUAUGAAAGACGAACUUCUGCGAAAGCAUUUGUCAAGGAUGUUUUCAUUAA